rnacentral:rRNA from 1 species
UACGAAGGGUGCAAGCGUUAAUCGGAAUUACUGGGCGUAAAGCGUGCGUAGACGGUUAUUUAAGUCGGGUGUGAAAGCCCCCGGGCUCAACCUGGGAAUUGCAUUCGAGACUGAAUAGCUAGGGUACGGUAGAGGGAAGUGGAAUUUCCGGUGUAGCGGUGAAAUGCGCAGAUAUCAGGAGGAACACCAGCGGCGAAGGCGGUGCUCUGGGCCGGAACUGACACUGAGGAGCGAAAGCGUGGGUAGCAAACAGG